GGUUUCCCCUUGUCAGUGGUGCAGAACGGAGGGUCUGACAAGGAUACCUGUCUAGUCCUUCGGAUGAGACAAAAAACCGAGGUCCUGUGUAUACAUUGGAAUACACGUAAAAGAUCCCUAGGCAGUUGGAAUUCGAUAUAAGAGUAGACGAUAGUGCCGCUGCCCGGGUAAAAUUUCCCUCACAGCACACUGUAUGGUGUAUGCCCGUCUUCAUUAGCCCAGUAUAGGAGCAGAACAGUAGGACGUUAAACCCCAUUUCAUUUAUCUCCAAGCCACAUGAAUUCACACCAAGGAUUGAAACCAUGACUGAAAGCCAGAUCGGCCAGCUUGAGCACAAGGCGCGACGUUCUUGACCACUAAAACCCCCGUUUACAUUACAAAUUUUAAGUCUACCAGACUCGAUAUCAGGUAUGGCAUGUUUCGCUUUAUUGUAGUGUAAACGGGUCAAAUGUAAGCGUGCCGUGCCUGGUAAUCUGGCCCACUGAAGUGAGGUGGUCUCAGAACGGUACCAGGACCGGCUCGCUUUAAAUUUUCGUAGUGUAAACGCUAAACGGUCUGAGCACGGAUUACUGCGCAUGCGCCAAAUGAACCUUGACCUUUUUCCCGCAAACUUUGACAGCUGUCAUCAAUUCUGUCAAAUUGGCUGCUCAAACUAAAUAAACCAUCAUAAUUGUUUUCAUCUGGGUAAUUUGUAUAGGGACUGAAAUUAACUUUUCUGUGAAGAGUUCCACAUAUAUCGUGCUUGGCACGGUUCUGAGACCUGUUAUUUUAGAGUAAUCUAAACGGGUCAAUUUCUUGAAAUUUAUCGCGUCCUGGUACCGUGCCCAGAACGGCACGCUUAUCGCGGCCAUGUGUAAACGGGGCUUAAGCCAUCCCUCUCCUCCUCUAGCACAUUGAAUGUUUCCUUUUAUUGAGAACCCCAUUUGCAUAUUGUCUCAUGAAGCUACUUGUUAAACAGGUAAUCAUGUGCCGUUUUCACAAAUUCAUAAGGCAGCGCAAACAUCGGAACUGAUAGUUCACAAACAAUAUAAAUGAAGGCCCACUAUUUAGUUAAUCCAAAGAAUAGAGCCAUCUGAUGAGAUCAAAUUUAUAUGUAUAUAUAUUUCUAUAACUUGUUUGUUGUUACCCAAUAUGUAAUUAAAAUUGUUUAAAUAAAAUUGAUGUUAAAUUUU